rnacentral:misc_RNA from 1 species
UACGGAGGGUGCGAGCGUUAAUCGGAAUUACUGGGCGUAAAGCGCGCGUAGGUGGCUUGAUAAGCCGGUUGUGAAAGCCCCGGGCUCAACCUGGGAACGGCAUCCGGAACUGUCAGGCUAGAGUGCAGGAGAGGAAGGUAGAAUUCCAUGUGUAGCGGUGAAAUGCGUAGAGAUCUGGAGGAAUACCGGUGGCGAAGGCGGCCCCCUGGACAAAGACUGACGCUCAGGUGCGAAAGCGUGGGGAGCAAACAGG